rnacentral:rRNA from 1 species
UACGUAGGGUGCAAGCGUUAAUCGGAAUUACUGGGCGUAAAGCGUGCGCAGGCGGUUAUGUAAGACAGGUGUGAAAUCCCCGGGCUCAACCCGGGAACUGCGUCCGAUACUGGAAGGCUUGAAUUCGGGAGAGGGAUGCGGAAUUCCAGGUGUAGCGGUGAAAUGCGUAGAUAUCUGGAGGAACACCGGUGGCGAAGGCGGCAUCCUGGACCGGCAUUGACGCUGAGGCGCGAAAGCCAGGGGAGCAAACAGG